GACGAACGCUGGCGGCGUGCCUAAUACAUGCAAGUUGAGCGCUGAAGGUUGGUACUUGUACCAACUGGAUGAGCAGCGAACGGGUGAGUAACGCGUGGGGAAUCUGCCUUUGAGCGGGGGACAACAUUUGGAAACGAAUGCUAAUACCGCAUAAAAACUUUAAACACAAGUUUUAAGUUUGAAAGAUGCAAUUGCAUCACUCAAAGAUGAUCCCGCGUUGUAUUAGCUAGUUGGUGAGGUAAAGGCUCACCAAGGCGAUGAUACAUAGCCGACCUGAGAGGGUGAUCGGCCACAUUGGGACUGAGACACGGCCCAAACUCCUACGGGGGGCAGCAGUAGGGAAUCUUCGGCAAUUGACGAAAGUCUGACCGAGCAACGCCGCGGGAGUGAAGAAGGGUUUCGGAUCGGAAAACUCUGUUGGUAGAGAAGAACGUUGGUGAGAGUGGAAAGCUCAUCAAGUGACGGUAACUACCCAGAAAGGGACGGCUAACUACGUG
rnacentral:rRNA from 1 species